rnacentral:misc_RNA from 1 species
AGAAGCCCUAACGCCACCACUACCAGCACCUAUAGUGAAUAAAUCGAAAUCGUAAUGCCGAGGAGUUUCAGCUCCAUUAGAUGACUCAGCACGAGGAGUAGUGAAACGGCGGCCAUAAGAUAAUGAUGAGGUACGGGUAUGAGAGAGAAAAUUGAAGCGGAGAGGCUUGAUAGGGUUAGAGAGAGAAAGAAGAGAGAAAUUAGAGAAUUUGGUCUUGUAAAGAGAAUGGAAAGUUGGAGAAGAAAGAGUUGUACUGAGCUUUGGUGAGCUCAAAGAUGUAGCCAUGGCGGAAUAAAUUUCU